UGUGCCCCAUGCUGACUUGUUACUUGCAAAUUCAGGUGGAGACAGUUCUUGUAAACCAAAGCUUGGACACAGGCGUGAGCUGAGGUCAACCACGGGGGGCUGGGGUCGCGCUACCCAGGGCUGUCACCGUCAAUCUCAGACCUGGGCACUCAGCAUCUUCACGACGACUUGGGUGUGAGAAUGGGACAAUGCUGCCCAGCCAGAGCUCCCAGUCCUGGAGCAAGAGGAAGGGUCACCCUACCCGUGGUACCCAGGUAGGUUUCCGUGGGCUGCCUGUCUGCACCCUCCCCACGUUGGAUCACAGAAGCCUCCCCCAAGGGGAUGCUGCCCGGAGGUGGGCACUGGGAGGUGAUCAGGUCCUGGGCGGCGGGGAGGCGGGGGGAGCCUCAUGAUGGGACAGCGUCUUCCUAAAGGACAGCACAGACCUCGCUUCCUCUCUCCCUGCCGUCUGCCCGUGAGGCCACAAACCAGCCACACACGGGCUCUGGUGGCACCUGGAUUUCAGACUUCGCCUCCGGAACUGUCUGCUGUUUAAGCCACCCCGGCUGUGGGGGUUUGUGAUUGACGCCCAACAGGACAAAGACACGGGUGCACCAAUCAAGUGUCCGGACCUGCGUCUGUAAUUACAUCCAUGGGCCCGGUUGGAAGCAGUGUGUGGUACACACAGUCCGUGUGCUUACGCGGGGAUCUGGCCCGAGCUGCGGGAGGAAGCGAGGCCGGAAGCACGUGCUCCUCUCCACGUGACAAGACAGAGGCAGCAGGGCCAAUGACUCACAGGUCACAAGCCUGGCAGUGGCACGGAGGGGGACCCAGGGCCUACUUCUGGGCAGCUGGCCCUCACUGUGAUUCACAGCGCCUGUAUUGAUUGUGGGGGGCCGGGGCGGCUGCUGGGGAGUUCCUACAGAUCCAGGCACAGGAAACAAGGCACGUAACAGGGAACACAAGGAGGGCCUUGUACUGUCCUCCUGCCCUCUGUAUCCGUCUUGGCAGCCUUACUUUUUCGUAUUUCUCUUCAUCUGGGGUGGAAGCAAAAACAAGGAGAAUGUGCGUGAAUAGAACUUUAAUGAGAACUCGUGGCUCAGGAGGCAUUGUUUUGGGAGGUCCUUCCACCCGAAACACGUUAGGAAUCUGCGCUGGUCAGGUUUGCAUUCUGCGGGCAGGCGUCUCCCUCCUGCUUAGGCAUGCUUCACGCAGCCAUUGAGCUCUGGUUGCUGUGACAGAUUCCACUAAGACAGAACAUUCUCGUGGAAACUCUGCUUAGCACGGUGAGGCACCUCACGUGGAGGGCUGGGGCCGAGUCGUGCUCAGGCUAAGAGGACGCCCCAGAGUUCGGGUGAUGACACAUAGCCAUGCUUGUCAGCAGCCUUGCGAAGUGUUGGGGAUCUGGGCGGUCAGGCACGGCUGGCUUUAUCUGUGUUCUGCAAAACCAUUU